ACGUAGGGGGCAAGCGUUGUCCGGAAUCAUUGGGCGUAAAGAGCGUGUAGGCGGUCCGAUAAGUCCGCUCUGAAAGCCCGGGGCUCAACCCCGGGAGGCGGGCGGAUACUGUCGGGCUAGAGUCCGGAAGAGGCAAGUGGAAUUCCUGGUGUAGCGGUGAAAUGCGCAGAUAUCAGGAGGAACACCGAUGGCGAAGGCAGCUUGCUGGGACGGUACUGACGCUGAGACGCGAAAGCGUGGGGAGCAAACAGGA
rnacentral:rRNA from 1 species